rnacentral:misc_RNA from 1 species
AAGUCGUAACAAGGUUUCCGUAGGUGAACCUGCGGAAGGAUCAUUAACAAAACUGAAGGUGAUAGGGGAUAGUUGCUGUUAGUUUUAGUUAAGCUAAGUUAAUUGUGACUAUUGCUGAAGCCCAAAACCUUUGUGAAUAGGGUAUAUCUAGAGAUAAAGUCGAAAGAUAAUGUCUGAGUUAUACUUAGAAGGGAACUGAGGGGUGAUGUUGACUUGUUUUGAAAAGAUCGUAAGAUGUGAGUAAUGAUAAGUUCAAUAUCCAAAAAAUCUUGUAGUCUAAUUUUUGUUGUCGAAAGACAUUCAAUAUAAUACAACUUUUAACAAUGGAUCUCUUGGCUCUU